rnacentral:rRNA from 1 species
UACGAAGGGGGCUAGCGUUGCUCGGAAUCACUGGGCGUAAAGCGCACGUAGGCGGAUCUUUAAGUCAGGGGUGAAAUCCUGGAGCUCAACUCCAGAACUGCCUUUGAUACUGGCAACCUAGAGGCUGGAAGAGGUUAGUGGAAUUCCCAGUGUAGAGGUGAAAAUUCGUAGAUAUUGGGAAGAACACCAGUGGCGAAGGCGGCUAACUGGUCCAGAUCUGACGCUGAGGUGCGAAAGCGUGGGGAGCAAACAGG